AUUUGUCAAAAUUUUAUUUUUUGAAAUAUAAAACGCUGCCGAAAAGACACAUUACUUUUUGAUUCUGUUAUUGAGAAAUAAAUUAAAUUAAUGUUCGAAUAGAAGUGACCGCAGAAUAAGUUUUUCGAAAAUGAACGUAAGAUAUAUACAAAAGCAAUAUAUUGUAUUUGAGCUCAUACAUAUGCAGAUGUCAUAAUGAAAUGCUAAAUAAUUUGGGUCUAUAAAGGUCCCUCUAAAAAUUUGCAAAAAAUGUUUUCGAAUGAGUGUUGUCAUUGAAAUAAUAGGUGUCCAAUAAAAAUACAUAUUACGUUCCUUUUUAAAUCAAGAUGCUAUUGUCCAACAACAAAUAGGGAAUAAUUUGCACAAAUUUAUCUCCAAAGAAAAGAGAAGACCCGAAAUACAAGAAAAAAUAGUUGUUGAAGACAAUGUGGAACUAAUAGAACUGAAAUUUUCGUACAUUUAUGCAUUAUAUUCGCAAUUCUUUAAACUAAUAAAUAAAUACAAAACUAUUAAAAAUAAAAGUAAAGGCCAAGUCUGGUGAUAAGAAACCAUAGAAUAAUGUUUUGGCUACCAGUAGUAAGAAAACAGGUAUUACCUCUAAGCCUAUUGAUUUCAAAAAGAAGGCUACUGAUGACAAGAAGCCCCAAUCAAUUUGGACCAAACUCUCCGCAAAGCAUUAGUUGGACAUCGCCAAUAAGAUUGGCAUCAUAUAAAUGGUCAAUUUCAAGUAUUCUUACUUUUUUCUUUAGACAUGAACUUAAAAAUAAAAUAUGUA